UACAUGUUUUGGCAGCAUGGCGCCCCUCC
rnacentral:piRNA from 1 species